AUGGAGGACCUACCAGAGGCUCUGGUGACAGAGAUUGUCAAGAGGAUCACCAGGACAAGUGAUCUCAAUUGUCUUUCCCUCGUGUCAAAGCAGCUCUACAAGAUAGAGGGGAAUCAAAGGGGUGCUAUCCGUGUUGGUUCCGGUCUUUGCACUGCUACAGAAGCAGUGACAUCAUUGUGCGCCCGGUUCCCAAAUCUGCAGAAAGUGGAAAUCGAUUACUCUGGUUGGAUACCUGGACAUGGAAAGCAGCUGGACAACAAAGGCCUUUCUGUGUUUUCAUCUCACUGUUCCUCGCUGGUUGACCUCACCUUAAGCUUCUGCUCAUGCAUCGAUGACUCUGGACUUGCUUGUUUAGCGAAUUGCAAGAAAUUGGUGUCUCUCAGGCUCAACUCCACACCACAAAUAACUUCGAUUGGGCUUUUCUCAGUUGCAGUUGGUUGCACAAGUCUAUCUGCCCUCCACCUUAUUGAUUGCGAGGAAAUCGACAAUGUAGAGUGGCUGGAAUACCUUGGUAGGGAUGGACCAUUGUACGCCCGCUUCCCAAAUCUGCGGAAAUUGGAAAUUGAUUACACUGGUUGGAUUCCUGGACAUGGAAAGCAGCUGGACAACAAAGGCCUUUCUGUGUUUUCAUCUCACUGUUCCUUGCUGGUUGACCUCACCUUAAGCUUCUGUUCAUGCAUCGAUGACUCUGGGCUUGCUUGUUUGGCUUAUUGCAAAACAUUGGUGUCUCUCAGGCUCAACUCCGCACCAAAAAUAACGUCAGUUGGGCUUUUCUCGGUUGCAGUUGGCUGCACAAGUCUAUCUGCUCUCCACCUUAUUGGUUGCGAGAAAAUUGACAGUGUAGAGUGGCUGGAAUACCUUGGUAGGGAUGGACCAUUGGAAGAGCUUGUAGUGAAGAAUUGCAAAGGAAUCAAUCAUCAUGACUUCCUAAAGUUUGGUUCAGGAUGGAUGAAGCUCCAGAAGUUUGAGUUUGAGGGCAAAAGAGGAAGAUAUGAUAGUCUUACAGAUGAUGUGGUCUAUGACUCCUCGUACGAUGCUCACAGCAUGGAUUUGUAUGAUUUCUACUGUGAGAGUUUGAAGGAUUUAAGGUUGGCACGUAUUAAAACUUGGCCGGAAGUAGGACUUCGUGUUGUCCUAGGGAAAUGUAAAGCAUUGGAGAAGCUUUGCCUUGAGUAUGUUUGUGCCUUAAAUGACAAUGACAUGAUUGCAUUAUCUCAGAGCUGCAGCAACCUUAAAAGCAUCUCACUUUGGCUCAACCUGCAGCACUACUCUAGUGAUGUCAGCUAUUGUGAAACCAGGACAUCAUUUACUGAUAACAGUCUUUACGCUCUAGCCCUAAACUGUCGUAUGCUUCAGAUGGUGGACCUCAGCUUUACAGGAUGUGCUGCUGACUGGCCAUCAGAAAUAGGAUUCACACAAGAGGGUUUUCUGGUGCUCAUUCAGUCUUGCCCAAUUCGUGUCCUCGUGCUCAACAACGCCAACUUCUUUGAUGACGAGGGGAUGAAGGCCCUCUCAUCCUCACCUCAUCUGGAGACACUCGAGCUUAUAUUGUGUCGUGCGGUAACUGAUGUUGGGAUGCGCUUCAUUGCGCACACCCCAUGCUUGAGUAAUCUCACACUUCGGAUGUGUCCUAACGUCACUGAUGUGGGAGUGGCUGAACUGGAACAUGCACAGAAGUUAGAGUCUUUGGUCGUCGAGUCUUGUGGUGAGGUCUCUCUGCAAGCUGCGCAUUGUGUUGCCAAGUCAGUUCAGUACUCCAGCGAGUGUUCAAAUGUCCUUAUGAAGAAAAUUGGUCUUGGCAGCUAUUGA
rnacentral:rRNA from 1 species